ACGCUGGCGGCGUGCCUAAUACAUGCAAGUCGAACGAAACUUUCUUACACCGAAUGCUUGCAUUCAUCGUAAGAAGUUGAGUGGCGGACGGGUGAGUAACACGUGGGUAACCUGCCUAAAAGAAGGGGAUAACACUUGGAAACAGGUGCUAAUACCGUAUAUCUCUGAGGAUCGCAUGAUCCUUAGAUGAAAGAUGGUUCUGCUAUCGCUUUUAGAUGGACCCGCGGCGUAUUAACUAGUUGGUGGGGUAACGGCCUACCAAGGUGAUGAUACGUAGCCGAACUGAGAGGUUGAUCGGCCACAUUGGGACUGAGACACGGCCCAAACUCCUACGGGAGGCAGCAGUAGGGAAUCUUCCACAAUGGACGCAAGUCUGAUGGAGCAACGCCGCGUGAGUGAAGAAGGUCUUCGGAUCGUAAAACUCUGUUGUUAGAGAAGAACACGAGUGAGAGUAACUGUUCAUUCGAUGACGGUAUCUAACCAGCAAGUCACGGCUAACUACGUGCCAGCAGCCGCGGUAAUACGUAGGUGGCAAGCGUUGUCCGGAUUUAUUGGGCGUAAAGGGRACGCAGGCGGUCUUUUAAGUCUGAUGUGAAAGCCUUCGGCUUAACCGGAGUAGUGCAUUGGAAACUGGAAGACUUGAGUGCAGAAGAGGAGAGUGGAACUCCAUGU
rnacentral:rRNA from 2 species